UCACCUCUUUCCUCGGAAAUACUGUGGGACAGGGACACAGGUCUCUUCAUCUCUUCCCAGGAAAAGGGAUAUGAAGUUGCAGUAAACUCUGGGGUCCAAGAGGGAUGGUGGAUCUGAUGUCACCAAAUUUGGAUUGUAGAAGAAUGACUUUCAAGCGCGAUGAAUGACGGGUUGCCAGAGGGCGUCACCCAGAGACAGAUCUGUCUCCAGCUGCCCUGUGUUCAGCCCUGUCUUGCGGGAUGGCAAGACGAAUGGUCUUCUUCCCAUGCUCAUCACCGGGACUCAUUCUCACCGACCCUGUUGUAAAUGCCAACUAGAGUGAAUUGUUCAUGCGAUGUCUUCCCACUGCCUCAGAGGAGGUUUGUCUCAGUCCCACGCGGAGCCUCUGCUGCCUUUGAGCAGGCACCGUUCUGGUCCCAGGGAUACCACAGUGAAUGAAACAGAAAAGAUCCUUAUCUCAUGGGACCUGCAGGCACCGAUCCUCAAAGGGUGGUCCAGAUCCUGGAGGCUGGAGGGUCCUGUCCUUGAGAACCUUUCAGGGGGUGAUGUGGGAGGUCAAAACUAUUUUCAUGGCAGCACCAGGAUGCUCUCCGCCUUCUUCAUUUUCAUUCUCUCAUGGGUAUGGUCGAAUUUUCCAGAGGUUACAUGGCAUGUAAUAGCACAACAGAUUGAGUGCAGAAGCAGAUUAAAAUACUCUUUUUCCCCUAAGUACA